rnacentral:rRNA from 1 species
UACAGAGGUCUCAAGCGUUUGUUCGGAUUCAUUGGGCGUAAGGGGUGUGUAGGUGGCGCCGUAAGUCGGGUGUGAAAUUUCGGAGCUUAACUCCGAAACUGCAUUCGAUACUGCGGUGCUUGAGGACUGGAGAGGAGACUGGAAUUCAUGGUGUAGCAGUGAAAUGCGUAGAGAUCAUGAGGAAGACCAGUGGCGAAGGCGGGUCUCUGGACAGUUCCUGACACUGAGACACGAAGGCCAGGGGAGCAAACGGG